UGUGGCAUUAUGAGAUUGUGCAACAUCAUCACUUGAAAAUUAAAAAAUAUAUAUGAAUUUUUAGGUGAUGAUGUGGUACAAUUUCAAAGUUUCAC
rfam:Gossypium hirsutum cultivar TM-1 chromosome 8, whole genome shotgun sequence